rnacentral:tRNA from 1 species
GGUUCUCUAGCUGUGGUAGCAAUUUGGUUUCGGCCCAAAAAGGAUAAUUAAGUUUAUGAGAGCUU